rnacentral:rRNA from 1 species
GUCUCUAUGAAGUUGUAUAAAGUCUGGCCUGCCCAUUGAAGAAAUUUAAAAGGCCGCAGUAUUCUUGACUGUGCAAAGGUAGCAUAAUAAUUAGUUUUUUAAUUGAAAACUUGUAUGAAAGGUCGGACAAAGAAAAAGCUGUCUUUAGUGUUUUUUUUUAACUUUACAUUUAAGUGAAAAGGCUUAAAUACUUAAAAGGGACGAUAAGACCCUAUAAAUCUUCACAUUUAAGGCGUAUUUUGAUAAUUUAGAAAAGAAAUAAUUUAAAUAAGUAAAAAUGUUGUGUUGGGGCGACAAAGAUAUAAGUAAAAACUGUUUUUUUAUAAAAACAAAUAUGUUUGAUUUUAUAAUAGAUCCUUUAUAAAGAUUUAAAGUUAAAGUUACUUUAGGGAUAACAGCGUAAUUUUUUUUGAGAGUUCUUAUCGAAAAAAAAGUUUACGACCUCGAUGUUGAAUUAAAAUUUCCGUUUGGCGCAGCAGUUAAAAAGGAAAGUCUGUUCGACUUUUAAAAUUUU